rnacentral:rRNA from 1 species
GACGAACGCUGGCGGUGUGCUUAACACAUGCAAGUCGAACGGAAAGGCCCUGCUUUUGUGGGGUGCUCGAGUGGCGAACGGGUGAGUAACACGUGAGUAACCUGCCCUUGACUUUGGGAUAACUUCAGGAAACUGGGGCUAAUACCGGAUAGGAGCUCCUGCUGCAUGGUGGGGGUUGGAAAGUUUCGGCGGUUGGGGAUGGACUCGCGGCUUAUCAGCUUGUUGGUGGGGUAGUGGCUUACCAAGGCUUUGACGGGUAGCCGGCCUGAGAGGGUGACCGGCCACAUUGGGACUGAGAUACGGUUCAGACUCCUACGGGAGGCAGCAGUGGGGAAUAUUGCACAAUGGGCGGAAGCCUGAUGCAGCAACGCCGCGUGCGGGAUGACGGCCUUCGGGUUGUAAACCGCUUUCGCCUGUGACGAAGCGUGAGUGACGGUAAUGGGUAAAGAAGCACCGGCUAACUACGUG